rnacentral:rRNA from 1 species
CCGGUCUGAACUCAGAUCACGUAAGAGUUAUUUGGGCGAACAGACCAAUCCUUAUAAAUUUUUCUCUAUAAGCUAUUCUUAAUCCAACAUCGAGGUCGCAAUUUAUUUUGUGAAUGGGAACUUCUCAAAAAUUUUGCGCUGUUAUCCCUUAGGUAACUUGUUUUAUUUCAUCUGUGGAUAAUUUAAUUUGAGGUAUUUCAUUUCGGUAUAUUUAAAGAUUUAUUUAUUUAAAAAUCUCCCCAAUUUAACAAUACAACUCAUUUAAGAUGAUGCGACUUGUAAAGUUCUAAAGGGUCUUCUUGUCUUUUGAUUUAAUUUAAGAUUUUUCACUUAAAUAUUAAUUUUUACUUUUUUAGUUUAAAAAGUUUGUUUUUCAUUGUUUCCUUCAUUCAAGCUUUCAAUUAUAAAGCAAUUUAUUAUGCUACCUUAGUACAGUUAACUUACUGCAGCUAUUUAAAUUUGGCAUUGAGCAGAAUUUAUCUAAAAUUGGUUUUCUUUAGACUAUGUUUUUGGUAAACAGGCG